GACAGAGGAGCCAAGCGUUGUCCGGAUUGACUGGGCGUAAAGCGCACGCAGGCGGUGCGGCACGUGGGGUGUGAAAGCGGCCCGCUUAACGGGUCGAGGCCAUCCCAUACGGCCACACUCGAGAGUGGCAGAGGUUCGUGGAAUUGCCGGUGUAGUGGUGAAAUGCGUAGAGAUCGGCAGGAACACCAAGGGGGAAACCAGCGAACUGGGCCAUUUCGUGACGCUCAGGUGCGAAAGCGUGGGGAGCGGAACCGG
rnacentral:rRNA from 1 species